UACGUAGGGUGCAAGCGUUGUCCGGAAUUAUUGGGCGUAAAGAGCUCGUAGGCGGUUUGUCGCGUCGGCUGUGAAAACUCGGGGCUUAACCCCGAGCCUGCAGUCGAUACGGGCAGACUUGAGUUCGGCAGGGGAGACUGGAAUUCCUGGUGUAGCGGUGAAAUGCGCAGAUAUCAGGAAGAACACCCGUGGCUAAGGCGGUUCUCUAGUACGGUACUGACGCUGAGACGCGAAAGCGUGGGGAGCGAACAGG
rnacentral:rRNA from 1 species